GCACAUGCCAGGCUCCUCUCUUCUCUUCCGUCCUGUCUGUCUCACUGGAUCCUCGACGGAGAACAAGCACCAUAGGAGAUGACCUUACUGCUGAAUGAUGGGGAGAAGCUGUCCCACAGUCUGUGCUGCCCCUGUGGGUCCUGAGGUGCCGGAGGAGACCUCAGGCCAGCUCGGUUUCCUCGCUUUCCCUGCGUUCAGCAGUGACGUAGAAACAUAAUGUUUCUGCUGCAGCAAAGGAGAGCCUUCUCACUGCAGACACCAGCAGGGUUCAACAACAGAGGUCACGGUGAUGGCAGGACACGAGGCUUUUAGGAACUCAAGCAGCAAUCCUGAUAACUUCCUCCAGGUUUCUGCUGCAGCAAAGGAGAGCCUCCUCACCAGACACCAGCAGGGUUCAACAACAGAGAAUCCUAAAACCAUCCUGGAGACGUGAAAUGAGGAGUGUCCACGUCCUUUCACUGAGCAGCUGAUUGAUGCAGGCAUCAGUGACCAGCUGAGAGCACAACUGUCAGCACCUGGAUCUGCAGUCACUUGCUUUAGAUUAAACUGAAUCUCUUCUGCAGUGAUCAGUCACUUUGAACAACUUCUGUCAUUUGCAGGAGAUUUUGCCUUGUCUUUUUUUUUUUUCUACCACUCCAAAUUCCAGAGAAGUUCAGAUGCUGUGUAUAACAGAAUAGACUGUUAAUUUGCUAUUAGACAGCUACUGAAAAUGAAAGCGGCACAAAGACAACAACUUUAAUAUAAGAGCUCAUCAGCUUAAUUGAUCUUUGUAAAUAUCUGCUUAUUCUGAAUUUGAUGCCAACAGCACAUUUCAAACAAGUUGGGCCAAGAGCAGCAAAAGACUGGGAAAGUUGUGGAACGCUCCAAAAACACCUGUUUGGAUCAUUCCACGGGUAAACAGGUGGAUUGGUAACAGGUGAUAGCAUCAUGAUUGGGUAUGAAAGGAGCAUCCUCGACCGGCUCAGUCGUUAACAAAGGAUGGAACAAUGUUCACCACUCUGAACACAUGACUGUAGAAAGGAUAUUACCACAUGGACUUAUGAACACUUUGUAAAAUUGAUGUGAGUAAGCAGUUUGUAAAUGAUUGCAUUCUGUCUUUAUUUAUGCAUUAGUGUCCCAGCAUUGUACAAUGAGUUCAACAAAUAAAAUAUCAGCA